AUCAGAAGAAGUAGAAACAUGCAGUCUACACACUUGCCGGAUUCAUUAAAUCUUCGGAUUUCGAGGCGAGUCUAAAAAAAGCUUAACCGCUAAGAGAUGUGGGAAAGUCACCCCACCUUCUGAU
rnacentral:ncRNA from 12 species